rnacentral:rRNA from 1 species
CAGUAGCCGCGGUAAUACGGAGGGGGCUAGCGUUGUUCGGAAUUACUGGGCGUAAAGCGCACGUAGGCGGCUUGGUAAGUUAGAGGUGAAAGCCUGGAGCUCAACUCCAGAAUUGCCUUUAAGACUGCCGAGCUAGCAGGUGAGAGAGGUAAGUGGAAUUCCGAGUGUAGAGGUGAAAUUCGUAGAUAUUUGGAAGAACACCAGUGGCGAAGGCGGCUUACUGGCUCAUACUGGACGCUGAGGUGCGAAAGCGUGGGGAGCAAACAGGAUUAGAUACCCGCGUAGUCCCUGUCUCUUAUAC